UGCGCAGGCGGGGAAAUAAGUCAGUGGUGAAAAGCUACCGCUUAACGGUAGUCUUGCCAAUGAUACUGUUUUUCUUGAGUAUGGUUAAGGUAGGCGGAAUGUGCAGUGUAGCGGUGAAAUGCAUAGAGAUUGCACAGAAGGCCGAUUGCGGAGGCAGCUUACUGAGCCAUAACUGACGCUGAGGCACGAAAGCGUGGGGAUCGAACAGGAUUAGAUACCCUGGUAGUC
rnacentral:rRNA from 1 species